GCCCUGAGGGAUAGCACAGUUGGUAGAGCAUGAGACUCAGGGUUGUGGGUUUGAGCCCCACGUCGGGCU